UACGUAGGGGGCAAGCGUUGUUCGGAAUUAUUGGGCGUAAAGAGCGUGUAGGCGGCCAUGUAGGUCCGUUGUGAAAACUCGAGGCUCAACCUCGAGACGCCGAUGGAAACCAUGUGGCUAGAGUCCGGAAGAGGAGAGUGGAAUUCCUGGUGUAGCGGUGAAAUGCGCAGAUAUCAGGAAGAACACCCGUGGCUAAGGCGGCUCUCUAGUACGGUACUGACGCUGAGACGCGAAAGCGUGGGGAGCGAACAGG
rnacentral:rRNA from 1 species